rnacentral:rRNA from 1 species
GACGAUCAGUAGCCGGUCUGAGAGGAUGAACGGCCACAUUGGAACUGAGACACGGUCCAGACUCCUACGGGAGGCAGCAGUGGGGAAUCUUCCGCAAUGGGCGCAAGCCUGACGGAGCAACGCCGCGUGAGUGAAGAAGGGUUUCGACUCGUAAAGCUCUGUUGUCGGGGACGAACGUAGAGGUGGUGAAUAACAGCUUCUAAUGACGGUACCUGACGAGGAAGCCACGGCUAACUACGUGCCAGCAGCCGCGGUAAUACGUAGGUGGCGAGCGUUGUCCGGAAUUAUUGGGCGUAAAGGGAGCGCAGGCGGGAAGGUAAGUCUAUCUUAAAAGUGCGGGGCUCAACCCCGUGAGGGGAUGGAAACUAUCUUUCUUGAGUGCAGGAGAGGAAAGCGGAAUUCUUAGUGUAGCGGUGAAAUGCGUAGAUAUUAGGAGGAACACCAGUGGCGAAGGCGGCUUUCUGGACUGUAACUGACGCUGAGGCUCGAAAGCGUGGGGAGCGAACAGGAUUAGAUACCCUGGUAGUCCACGCCGUAAACGAUGAAUGCUAGGUGUAGGAGGUAUCGACCCCUCCUGUGCCGGAGUUAACGCAAUAAGCAUUCCGCCUGGGGAGUA